rnacentral:tRNA from 1 species
GGGUCGUUAGCUCAGUCGCUUAUGUUAUAAAAGCUAGGGCAGUUGGCUUUUAACCAAUCAGUCGAAUGGUUUUAACCCUUCAUGAUUCA